GGAUUGCUGGUUAAAAGCAGGACAUUUAAAAAGCAAAUGUGAAGAUGGAAAUUGUAAUAUCGAUCAGGCUUACACUUUAAGAGAGACAUGCUGUAUUGAUCAAGCCCAGGAUAAAACCAGUCAUACUAUAAAGUACUAAAUGUGUCUUUAAAUUUUAUCGACCAAACUGACAGGGGUAUGCAAAAUGAAAGCCAUAUGCAGAAAAUUCUCUUCAAAGUCACUGUGAUGCAAGUUUACUUUUGUUUGGCAAUUCAGGGUCCCAGUGGAUUACAGCUACAGAUUAAAGUAUCAGGAAGAAAAUGAAAAUGUAAAGGCAUAGUAAUUUUUAAGAAAGCAUUAUUUACUUUUGGGAUUUGCUUUUGUGAUAGGAAGAAUGACCGAAUCUCCAAUGUGAUUGCUUUGCAGGAUACUUCUGUUCUGUGGCAAGUUAUAACACCAUUUUGAAAUAAAAUUUUGUGAAUCUAAAAAUAAGGAUUCCAGAUUCUUUCAUCAAUAUCUUGCAGCUCCUCCCUUCAAGAGGUGGAGUCUAUUUUCCCACUCCUUGAAUCUGGUCUUGCCUUGUAAUUUGCUGCGACUAAUAGUACGUUGCUGAAGUUACAUUGCGUAGACACUAGACCUUCAGUGGAGCGCCUGCCUUUCCUUCUUGGAAUGCUUUGAUCACCAUGUAAAGCCACCUAGCUACUGAAUGAUGAGAAACCAUGCAGAAAGAAUGGCGUAGCUAACAGCCAGCAACAAGGCCCAAGACAUAUGUGUGAAUCCAUUUUAGAUCCUCCGGCCCCAGAUGUGUUAACUUGUCUUUAAGCGGGCCACCAUCAAUUUGCUCAACUCCGGGAUAGUUGAACCUAGGCAGGCCUUAGUGACUUGUUUAAGUAAUAGAAUAUGUUGAAAAAUAUCUUUGGAGCUUCUGAAGCUAGGUUAUAAGAAGACUUGGAGCUUCUGCCUACGCCUCCUGAAACACCUACUCUUGGACCCCUGAGCCACCAUGCAAGAAAGUUUAGUCCCUGCUGGAAUGAGUUCAUGGAGAGGCUCUGAGUCUGUAUGGAGAGGGAGACAGGCCUAGCUGAGCCUACCUACUACCUGUGCCCACUAAAGCAUCAGGCAUGUGAGUAUGGUCACGUUGACCACCCCAGACCAGGUCAUCUGUCAGUUGAGUACCACUGAAGAGUGACUCCGGUUAACAGCCACAUUGACCAAAAGAAUCAACCAGCCAGAUUUUGCCUCAAUUCCUGAAUUUCAGAAAUUGUCAUUUUAAGCCACUAAGUUUUAAGGUGGUUUGCUACAUUGUAAUAGAUAAUAGAACACUGAAGAGUAAUCUGAGACAACAAGGUAAGCUAUUAGAAAAUUAUUACCACUUCCAACUAUUUAUCUUGUGAAUCAGGCAACAGAAAUGGAGAAUACAAAAUACAGAAAUAAACUGGG
rnacentral:lncRNA from 10 species